rnacentral:rRNA from 1 species
GAUGAACGCUAGCGGCAGGCUUAAUACAUGCAAGUCGAGGGGCAGCAUGGUUGUAGCAAUACAACUGAUGGCGACCGGCAAACGGGUGCGGAACACGUACACAACUUACCCUGAACUGGGGGAUAGCCUUCCGAAAGGAAGAUUAAUACCUCAUAGGAUCGUAGAGUGGCAUCACUUAGCGAUUAAAGCUCCGGCGGUUCAGGAUGGGUGUGCGGCUGAUUAGGUAGUUGGUAGAGGUAACGGCUCACCAAGCCUGCGAUCAGUAACUGGUGUGAGAGCACGACCAGUCACACGGGCACUAAGACACGGACCAGACUCCUACGGGAGGCAGCAGUGAGGAAUAUUGGACAAUGGUCGGAAGACUGAUCCAGCCAUGCCGCGUGCAGGAAGACGGCCCUAUGGGUUGUAAACUGCUUUUAUUAAGGAAGAAACCCCUCUUCGUGAAGAGGGCUGACGGUACUUUUUGAAUAAGCACCGGCUAACUCCGUGCCAGCCGCCGCCGUAAUAC